rnacentral:rRNA from 1 species
UACGGAGGGUGCAAGCGUUAUCCGGAUUCACUGGGUUUAAAGGGUGCGUAGGCGGAACAGCAAGUCCGUUGUGAAAUCUCCGAGCUUAACUCGGAAAUUGCGGUGGAUACUAUUGUUCUUGAAUACUGUUGAGGUUAGCGGAAUAUGUCAUGUAGCGGUGAAAUGCAUAGAUAUGACAUAGAACACCAACUGCGAAGGCAGCUGGCUAAACAGAUAUUGACGCUGAGGCACGAAAGCGUGGGGAUCAAACAGG